rnacentral:rRNA from 1 species
GACGUAGGGGGCCAGCGUUGCUCGGAAUUACUGGGCGUAAAGGGUUCGUAGGCGGUGCGGUAAGUCGGAAGUGAAAUCUCUGGGCUUAACCCAGAGGCUGCUUUCGAAACUGCCGUGCUAGAGUGCGGGAGAGGCGAGUGGAAUUACAGGUGUAGCGGUGAAAUGCGUAGAUAUCUGUAGGAACACCCGUGGCGAAGGCGGCUCGCUGGACCGCAACUGACGCUGAGGAACGAAAGCUAGGGGAGCAAACAGG